CCCAGACUCCUACGGGAGGCAGCAGUGGGGGAUAUUGCACAAUGGGGGGAACCCUGAUGCAGCGACGCCGCGUGGGUGAAGGAGCGUUUCGGCGCGUAAAGCCCUAUCGGCAGGGAAGAAGGAGGACGGUACCUGACUAAGAAGCCCCGGCUAACUACGUGCCAGCAGCCGCGGUAAUACGUAGGGGGCAAGCGUUAUCCGGAUUUACUGGGUGUAAAGGGGGCGCAGACGGCAGCGCAAGCCAGGAGUGAAAGCCCGGGGCCCAACCCCGGGACUGCUCUUGGAACUGCGCGGCUGGAGUGCAGGAGGGGCAGGCGGAAUUCCUGGUGUAGCGGUGAAAUGCGUAGAUAUACGGAGGAACACCAGUGGCGAAGGCGGCCUGCUGGACAUUAACUGACGCUGAGGCGCGAAAGCGUGGGGAGCAAACAGGAUUAGAUGCCCCAGUACC
rnacentral:rRNA from 1 species